GUGCUUGCUUCAGUGGCACACACACACCAAAAUUGGAAGAAUACAGAGAAGAUCGUCAUGGUUCCUGUGCAAGAGUGACAUGCAAAUUCAUGAAGAAUUCCAUAUUUUU